CCUACGGGCGGCUGCAGUGGGGAAUAUUGGACAAUGGGCGAAAGCCUGAUCCAGCCAUGCCGCGUGUGUGAAGAAGGCCUUCGGGUUGUAAAGCACUUUCAGUGGGGAAGAAAGCCUUGGGGCUAAUACCCUCGAGGAAGGACAUCACCCACAGAAGAAGCACCGGCUAACUCCGUGCCAGCAGCCGCGGUAAUACGGAGGGUGCGAGCGUUAAUCGGAAUUACUGGGCGUAAAGCGCGCAUAGGCGGUCUGAUAAGCCGGUUGUGAAAGCCCCGGGCUCAACCUGGGAACGGCAUCCGGAACUGUCAGGCUAGAGUGCAGGAGAGGAAGGUAGAAUUCCCGGUGUAGCGGUGAAAUGCGUAGAGAUCGGGAGGAAUACCAGUGGCGAAGGCGGCCUUCUGGACUGACACUGACGCUGAGGUGCGAAAGCGUGGGUAGCAAACAGGAUUAGAUACCCGAGUAGUC
rnacentral:rRNA from 1 species